UACGUAGGGGGCAAGCGUUGUCCGGAUUUAUUGGGCGUAAAGCGCGCGUAGGCGGCGCGGUAUGUCGUGCGUGAAAUCUCCCGGCUUAACUGGGAGGGGCCGUGCGAAACUGCCGGGCUUGAGGUCGGAAGGGGAAAGUGGAAUUCCGGGUGUAGUGGUGGAAUACGUAGAUAUCCGGAGGAACACCAGCGGCGAAGGCGGCUUCUGGUCCGGUACUGACGCUGAGGAGCGAAAGCGUGGGGAGCGAACAGG
rnacentral:rRNA from 1 species